rnacentral:lncRNA from 1 species
GUUUAGUUCUUGUUCGGUCGAUAGUUAUGUAUGAUGAUGGCAUAAACAAGAACUAAACAAGAUGAUGGCAAAGCUGGAUUGAUUCAAAGUAGAGAACUCACUGGUUCUUGCUCUGCGCCUCUGCUUUUGCCAGAACGUUAACUUUUUGUCAUAACUAAAAUUAUAUGCCACAAGUUAUAUGCUAUAAGUUGGAAGAAUUAUGGAAACUACGUACUUUCUUUAAUGUAGUAGUCAAAUAUUGUUCAUAG